rnacentral:rRNA from 1 species
GACGAACGCUGGCGGCGUGCUUAACACAUGCAAGUCGAACGAUGAAGCCGGAGCUUGCUCUGGUGAAUUAGUGGCGAACGGGUGAGUAACACGUGGGUGAUCUGCCCUGCACUUCGGGAUAAGCCUGGGAAACUGGGUCUAAUACCGGAUAGGACCACUGCCUGCAUGGGUGGUGGUGGAAAGCUUUUGCGGUGUGAGAUGGGCCCGCGGCCUAUCAGCUUGUUGGUGGGGUGAUGGCCUACCAAGGCGACGACGGGUAGCCGGCCUGGGAGGGUGACCGGCCACACUGGGACUGAGAUACGGCCCAGACUCCUACGGGAGGCAGCAGCGGGGAAUAUUGCACAAUGGGCGCAAGCCUGAUGCAGCGACGCCGCGUGAGGGAUGACGGCCUUCGGGUUGUAAACCUCUUUCAGCACCGACGAAGCGCAAGUGACGGUAGGUGCAGAAGAAGGACCGGCCAACUACGUGCCAGCAGCCGCGGUAA